UGGAAUUAACUAGCUGUUUUUAAUAUAAAACCAGUUAUAGUAAAUAAAAAUAUUUAAUUACCAAUAAAACAUUUAUUUAUUUUAGUAAAGGCGAUUGAAUCUUAAUUUAAUGGAAACUUUAAUAAAGUACUGCAAAGGAAUUGAAUAAUUGUUGUUUAAGAGAAAUUUAUUUUCGUACCUUUAGCAUCAUGGCUUAGCUAGAAUUUAUUUUUAAAUAUAAAUUUCUCGAAAUCUAAUGGGCUAUCUUAAGUCUUUCUCUUAGGAAAUUAAAAGUAAUUGUUGCAAAAAUUUUUUAAGAACUUAAGAUAGAAAUGAAAUUUUAUCCGUAUUAGUUGAUAGCUAGUUUCUCUCUAAAUAUAUAGAAGUAUUUUAAAUUUGUAAGCUUAUGUGAUACUCUAAAUCACAUUGGAUUUAAAUUUAAGCAAAUUUUCGAGGAUUAGCUCGAAAAUUUAUAUAAUAAAAAUAGUAUAAAUCUUUUGAAAAAUCUAUGCUUGAAAAUGGCAAUGAUAAAAGAAUUUGUUAUAAUUCAUUAAUUUAUUUAUAAGAUAUAAUUGAUUUACUUUAUUUAUUGAGAGAAAAAUUCGGUAACUACCACGAAUUAUUAUUAUGCUAAGAUGAGUAUUUUUAUUUUAUUUAUUGAUUAACUCAUUAAAUUAAAAAGUUAAUCUAAAGAAUUUUUAUUAUAAAAUUAAAUCCCACAAAGGAACUCGGCAAAAUUUUGUUCUGCCUGUUUAUCAAAAACAUGGCUCUAUGAUAUAAAUUAAUAUAGAGUCGGACCUGCCCAGUGAAAAUUUUCAACGGCCGCGGUACUCUGACCGUGCAAAGGUAGCAUAAUCAUUUGCCCUAUAAUUGAGGGCUAGUAUGAAUGGUUUGACAUGAACAAUACUGUCUCUGUGAGAUUAAUUAGAAUUUAAUUUUCAGGUGAAGAAGCCUGAGUAAAAUUGAAAGACAAGAAGACCCUAUCGAGCUUGAAAAAAAUAUUUAGAAAUAAAAACCUUUUAAGGAUAUAUAACUAAGUAAUAUUUUGGUUGGGGCGACUUAGGAACAAAAAAAGCUUCUUAAUAAUAUUAUAAAUUAUAAAUUAUGAUCCAGAUUUUCUGAUUAAAAAAAUUAGUUACCGUAGGGAUAACAGCAUAAUCUUUUUUGAGAGUUCUUAUCGAAAAAUAGGUUUGUGACCUCGAUGUUGGACUAAAGUAUCCUAAAGAUGUAGAAGUCUUUAAGGGUUGGUCUGUUCGACCAUUAAAACUUUACAUGAUCUGAGUUCAGACCGGCGUGAGCCAGGUCAGUUUCUAUCUUCAAUUAAAAAUUUAAGUUUAGUACGAAAGGACCAAUUUAAAAUAAUAUUGUUUAUUUAAUAUGAUUAAAUAUAAUUAUAAAAUAAAAUAAAGCACGAUAAGUCGAAUUAGCAAAGUUAAUGCAAU
rnacentral:rRNA from 1 species